UGACAAGAAGAUGCUUGCUUGCAAGAAGCAAAGCAACAGCUUCGACACAGUGAUUUCUUCCAAGGAUGAAGAAGUUGGAUAAGAAAGUGAGCGUGAGAACCUGAAGGAGGCUUUUGUUCUUGCUGUCUCUCGAGUCUUGGCGGAGAAUCAAGUAACAGAUUUCAAGGAACUGGAAGCAUGAUCCACUUACUCUGGAAGAAGAAAGACAUUGAGGCAGGGAAUGAAUACUUCUUAAAAAUUGUUUCCCUUAAAAAAAUAAUAAUACUGUGGCCACACAUUGUGAUUGGAAUGGAGGAAAGGGUGUUCAGACUGGAAGAAUCUCCAGGAAGUUCAAUUUGACAAAUUCCCUCAGUGUCCUAGAGGCACAGGAUUGUGCCUAUGAGAGAAAACAGCAUUCUUGGAGAGAUGAGAGCAAGCCCUGGAAGAGGACUCAUCGAAUACAACAAGCAUUCUAUUUUGGAACAAGAUGUUGAUUGUGGAUGACAUUGUAUGAGGGCUGAGAAGACAUGGAAACUCACUGCUUCAGGUGUCGAUUGUGAACGUGUAGCCGGGCUCUGCGUCGCUCAAAGAAAGCUGUAUUCCGAAAGAAGGGCUGGACACGAUGAACUCCAGCGAAUCAACACAGAUGACCGCUAACGGUAAAGGAAAAAGGACAAAGACAGGGAAGGAAAAGUCACGGUGUAAAGGCACAGAUAAUAGCAUUGCUCUUAAAACUAAGCGAAACGUUCGUGAAAUCAGCUACCUUCUGGGAAUGAGAGAAUCUCGGGCUGGCUCCCUCACUUCUCAAGAAGAGAAGCUGAAUCCAGGGACCCUGUAAUAACCCCUCUGACACCAUGCCCAGGCAGGAGUAGAAUUGGAGCUGGAGUUCACAUUCCCUGAGACAGCCCACCCUUCCCUCCGGGUUCCAUCUCGUCUAAUGGUGUCCACAAGAGAAAAUGGGCCAAAGAGGAAGUCACUUCACUCUCCUUCCGAACCCACUGCUGUAAUUCUGAGGACAACGAGGUCCCUCUGAGAGGGAGACAGGACUGGACACCACUGGUUCUAUCCAGUGCUUAACUGUGGAUCUCUGCAUCUGCUUCCCUCUCCUUCUCCAGCACCAUGUCCGCCUGCACACCGCCGUGUCUGCCUGCACACGGCCGCCUGCACACCGCCGGGUCCGCCUGCACACCACCGUGUCCCACCAUGAUGGGCUGAACCUCUGAACUGAAAGCCGCCACCAAAUUAAAUGUUUUCCUUUGUAAGAGUUGCCGUGAUCACGGUGUCCCUUCACAGCAGUAGAAACCCUAACUAAGAGACACCCGGAAAAGUCUGGGAAGAGAAUGAGAGCAAUGAUAGUGUCUCCUUGGGUUAGAAGAAAUUGUUUAUAUCUUUAGAGUAGCAUAACAUUUAAUAAAACAGAUUAAAUAUCAACCAGUUAAUGAGCAAUUGUCAAAAGAUACCGAAACCACAAAGAAUUCAACUGAGUUUAACUGAAACUGUUUAAUCUCCCCAGUGAACAAUAAAUUCUAUUCUGGCCAAA